rnacentral:rRNA from 1 species
GAUGAACGCUGGCGGCGUGCCUAAUACAUGCAAGUCGAGCGAACGGACGAGAAGCUUGCUUCUCUGAUGUUAGCGGCGGACGGGUGAGUAACACGUGGAUAACCUACCUAUAAGACUGGGAUAACUUCGGGAAACCGGAGCUAAUCCCGGAUAAUAUUUUGAACCGCAUGGUUCAAAAGUGAAAGACGGUCUUGCUGUCACUUAUAGAUGGAUCCGCGCUGCAUUAGCUAGUUGGUAAGGUAACGGCUUACCAAGGCAACGAUGCAUAGCCGACCUGAGAGGGUGAUCGGCCACACUGGAACUGAGACACGGUCCAGACUCCUACGGGAGGCAGCAGUAGGGAAUCGUCCGCAAUGGGCGAAAGCCUGACGGAGCAACGCCGCGUGAGUGAUGAAGGUCUUCGGAUCGUAAAACUCUGUUAUGAGGGAAGAACAGAUGUGUAAGUAACUGUGCACAUCUUGACGGUACCUAAUCAGAAAGCCACGGCUAACUACGUG